CCUCUACACAGGUUUGGAUAACAUUGGUUCCUGUCUUCUUCUGUCUGUUGAUUGGUCUGAUGCUCUGGGAGCCUCUCAUGUCUUCACCUUGGCCAGGACAAAAUUUGCGCUAGAGGCGGGGCCACCAUUGUUGCAGUGCGGCCGAGACAUUACAGCACUAGUCAGGUGUUCAGAGGGAGCCUGUCUUUGCUUUAGCGGGUGGAAUGACCACUAUGUGGCCGAUCAUUCUGAAAGAACUGGCAACAGCUGGAGGCACCCUGGUCAGAAAAUACUGGUCUAUUGCAUUGAAGGCAGCACAGGCCGGAGCGCCCCCCGGUGAAAUCUGACGGGGUGAAGUAGCUUUAUUAUUGGAACAUGGCAGAUGCUGGAAAUCAAUUUGUUGCUGAUGCUCUUUAGCACUAAGACUCCUCGAUGCGCGGUAAGACAAUGGACCCCGGCAUGCGAAUGAAAGGCCGGCAGAUCGAUGACGCUAGAGGCGCGAUAGUCUGCAGAAUUCUUAACUAUUAUAUGUUUUUCUAAUGCAAAGUACUAGAGACAACAAUU